rnacentral:rRNA from 1 species
AUUGAACGCUGGCAGCAGGCCUAACACAUGCAAGUCGAACGAGAAGCGGAAGGGUGAGUAAUGACUGGGAAACUUCCUGAUGGCUGGGGAUAAGUAAUGGAAACGGUAGCUAAUACCGCAUAACAUCAGAUUUGCCCAGAUGUGAUUAGCUUGUUGGUGGGGUAACGGCUAACCAAGGCGACGAUGCGUAGCGGGUCUGAGAGGAUGACGCGCCACACUGGAACUGUGACACGGCCCAGACUCCUACGGGAGGCAGCAGGGGGGAAGUUUGGACAAUGGGCGCAAGCCUGAUGCAGCCAUGCCGCGUGUCUGAAGAAGGCCUUCGGGUUUGAAAGUACUUUUGUCAGGGAGGCGGUACCUGAAGAAUAAGCACCGGCUAACUCCGUGCCAGCAGCCGCGGUAAUAC